GGGGAACUGCUUGGAAGGCGUCUGAUGUCCGGCUAUGAAGCUGCUUCAUCCUCACAGCUGGCAAUGAAACGGCUGCAGCCACAGUCGCUUUG
rnacentral:lncRNA from 1 species